CGAAAAUUGUCUAACCCCUUUGUCUUGGUAAAAAUUAAUAAUUUAAUUAUUUUUUCCUCAUUUAUUUGAGUAUAUAAUAAAUAAUUUAUGACUUGACAUCUCCAUAUAAGUCAUCAAGUUUGUAUGUUGUUAUCAAUGGAUACGAAUGACUGAUUAUUUAAUCUCGAUAAUAUUUUCGAUAUAUUUUGGAUAACGAGUAUUUACUCGCCCGAAUGAUUGUUCAUCAUCAUUUUCUUCGUUGAUGUUUGGUUGCUGCAAAAAUGCUUUGAGAAGAAAAAUAUUCAGUGAGAGAUUAAUUGGAGUAAAAUUAAUUUAUUGAUUCCAAUUAUCAUGAAUCUCUUAUGCUGGUUCCGCAUGCUGGAAGCGCAGAAAUACGUCCGCCGAGAAACUGAAAGAAUUGUCUGCUGCUCUAGAUAUUUUUCGGUGUGACUCAUCAAAACGAGGGUGUAGACACUGGCACAUACCGUGACAAUAAUAAGAUACUGAACAAUUUUGCACCAAGUGUCACCAAAUGGCCAAUACAGAAGAACGUAAUCCGUAGCAGUAAAUGGAUUUAAUGCAACAACAAUUACGACAAGUGAAUUACCAACGAGUCCAAGGAAACCAAUUAGGCCAAAAAAUACAGGCACCACAACUUUCACCAUACUAUCAUUAAGUU